UCACGGUUUGCACCGGCAGUUUCCUUAGAGUCCCCGACAUUACUCGCUGGCAACUAAGGAUAGGGGUUGCGCUCGUUAUGGGACUUAACCCGACACCUCACAGCACGAGCUGACGACAACCAUGCAGCACCUUGUAGAUUGCCCGAAGGAGGACUGGUUUCCCAGCCUGUCAAUCUACAUUCAAGCCCAGGUAAGGUUCCUCGCGUAUCAUCGAAUUAAACCACAUGCUCCACCGCUUGUGCGGGCCCCCGUCAAUUCCUUUGAGUUUCAAUCUUGCGACCGUACUCCCCAGGUGGAUUACUUAUCGCUUUCGCUUAGGCACUAACAGUAUAUCGCUAGCACCGAGUAAUCAUCGUUUACGGCGUGGACUAC
rnacentral:misc_RNA from 1 species